rnacentral:lncRNA from 1 species
GAUAGUCUGUCCCUUCGCACCUCUUCUCCACCGGGAGAGCCCCCGGGAAAGCCAUUUUUCUUCCCAAAGGGAAACUUAGGCCAGUUUCCCAGAGGGUCUGAUGGCACGAAAAGGCUGAGGAGCCUCAAGGCUGGCCCAGUGCCUCUGAGAAGCGGGUGAAGUCAUGGCCUGUUGCUUUGAUAAGAGGUGCUGUUCUCCUCCUGUUGGCUUCAGGUGACUCAGCAGUAGUAUGUGGCUGACAUUAAAUUAGAGUCACGUUUACGUAACACGUCAUAGUUUCGACGAGCUGUAACCACAGAGCUGAUGGGAGACUGUGGGGGUGUUUUUACCUCAGAAGGUUCUCUGUUGGGGCUGCCCACGCAGCCGAGAAGCAACUGAAGGGACUCUGCUUUCUUUUUGAGCUGCUUAAAACACACAGAUGGAAUGAGUGCCCAUGUGCAAGCUUUGGUAGCAGAACAGCUUCAGGGGUUGGCCUUCGUGAGAAGAGACCUCCAUCUCCAACAGAGCCAGUGAUCUCUGAAAUACACCUGCUGCAGGAUAAAGAUCGAAAAGAAAUAUCUUCCUGGCAGCACUGCGUAUGGAAGGAAUAAGGAAAGUAACAAGGAGAAAGUUGCGCGCAUUUACAACAUGAAGAUGCUAUUCAAGGUCAGAAGAAGAAGGUCUUCUAUCUACGUAGAAGGAGGUGGAGACCAUAUAAACACUCAUUGAAAGAGACCCAUGAAGAAAACAGAAGUAGGGGAAAGCACUACAGCUGGAAAAUAAAUCUUGACAAUCCUCCAUUCUUGCUGUCAGACAACACCAGAAGCACACUGGCUUCAAGCAGUCCAGUAUCAAAGUGGAUUUGGAGAUUUGGCUAUUGCUCUACUGGGAGAUGGUUGGAAGUACAAAGAGGGGAAAAAUAACCGGUGAAUACGUAACAGGAACAACUCGUUCUUGGAUUCAGAGCUGUCUGUGGACAAUCUGUAAGCCAGUGUUUUAAGUAAAAUAUGUGACUAAUGAUCCCUAUGAGGAGCAUGAAGUAAUUAAUACCUGGAGGUGAUAUACAAGGCUGAGGGAAAGUGGGAUGAAGGCGUAACAACAUGGGAGAAUGGCAGUGUUUGAGAAAAGCCCACACCUUUGGAGGUGGCUUCUCAUGGGGGAGCAAGCUGUGAAGAAAGCACAUGAAGAAUAAGGACACAUUUUAAGUGCCUUUAACACAUUGCAAGAAUGUGUAAAGGACCACGUUCCCAUAUUUCAUGAGCAAUCACAGUGCUAGCUGCUUUUUUUUUAAUUGCAGCAAAUUACUGACUUGCUUGAGCUUUUCAAAACUGGUGAAACUCAUUAUACUUUAGAAUAAUUGCAUAAACUACUUUAAUAUUCAAACACACUUGAAUAAACAACUAUUCUGUAUUAAGUUUUCAACAAACUGUUGCUUUUGCUGGUUGAACCUUGUGUUCUCUGUAAAGAUUACUUUCUUAUGGCACUUCUGAAAGUUAAUAUGCAAGAGCAACAUAUAAUUUGAGGUCCUUUCAGUUAAUUGCCCACACAGCUGAAUUCUGCAAAACUGCUCAAUUACUAAAAGGCAAAAUCUGAGCUGUUUGUUUAUUUUCCCUUCAGUGGGAACUCAGCUUUCUGCUAAUCAGUGACUGCAGCUGAAAUGAAUUCAUCAUCACAACGGUAAAACAAGUAGUGCAUUCAUUUAGCAGCCUGUUAAACUGUGCAUGCAUUUUAGUCCCUUUGCAAUGUGGUUGCCAUGGCAUUUGUGGGUGGUGGUGAAGAUGACAGGAGAUUCUCAACAUAAAUACCAAACCACGCUAUAAUAUAUGUCGUGCUGACCUGCUAUUAAUUAGGUGGCUGCUCUUUUAUCAUAAAGAACACAUCAGUUCAACUUUCCCUUCAGUAAGUGAUGUGAAAUCUGAACCAGCAGUGGCUAUAGGAACGUAAAUCAUAUGACAAACUUUUAAAGGUCGGGUUUCUGUGUUACUGAGGUUUUCCAAAACUGUACAGGCAUUAUGAGCAAGUGGCAAUAAGGUGACAGUCUGCACUGAAAGGCUGGGCUGUGUACCUGACUAUGGACUACAUUCUAGCAAUUCUAUCUUGUCAUAAAGUGUAAUGAUGGUUAGGAACGUAUAUUAAUUAAAAUAUGAAGUU